rnacentral:rRNA from 1 species
GUGGGAAACGAUGUGGGAAGGCCCAGACAGCCAGGAUGUUGGCUUAGAAGCAGCCAUCAUUUAAAGAAAGCGUAAUAGCUCACUGGUCGAGUCGGCCUGCGCGGAAGAUGUAACGGGGCUAAACCAUGCACCGAAGCUGCGGCAGCGACGCUUAUGCGUUGUUGGGUAGGGGAGCGUUCUGUAAGCCUGUGAAGGUGUGUCGUGAGGCAUGCUGGAGGUAUCAGAAGUGCGAAUGCUGACAUAAGUAACGAUAAAGCGGGUGAAAAGCCCGCUCGCCGGAAGACCAAGGGUUCCUGUCCAACGUUAAUCGGGGCAGGGUGAGUCGACCCCUAAGGCGAGGCCGAAAGGCGUAGUCGAUGGGAAACGGGUUAAUAUUCCCGUACUUGGUGUUACUGCGAAGGGGGGACGGAGAAGGCUAUGUUGGCCGGGCGACGGUUGUCCCGGUUUAAGCGUGUAGGUGUGUGUUCCAGGUAAAUCCGGUUCACUUUAACACUGAGGCGUGAUGACGAGGCACUACGGUGCUGAAGUAACAAAUGCCCUGCUUCCAGGAAAAGCCUCUAAGCAUCAGGUAACAUCAAAUCGUACCCCAAACCGACACAGGUGGUCAGGUAGAGAAUACCAAGGCGCUUGAGAGAACUCGGGUGAAGGAACUAGGCAAAAUGGUGCCGUAACUUCGGGAGAAGGCACGCUGACACGUAGGUGAAGUGAUUUACUCACGGAGCUGAAGUCAGUCGAAGAUACCAGCUGGCUGCAACUGUUUAUUAAAAACACAGCACUGUGCAAACACGAAAGUGGACGUAUACGGUGUGACGCCUGCCCGGUGCCGGAAGGUUAAUUGAUGGGGUCAGCGCAAGCGAAGCUCCUGAUCGAAGCCCCGGUAAACGGCGGCCGUAACUAUAACGGUCCUAAGGUAGCGAAAUUCCUUGUCGGGUAAGUUCCGACCUGCACGAAUGGCGUAAUGAUGGCCAGGCUGUCUCCACCCGAGACUCAGUGAAAUUGAACUCGCUGUGAAGAUGCAGUGUACCCGCGGCAAGACGGAAAGACCCCGUGAACCUUUACUAUAGCUUGACACUGAACAUUGAGCCUUGAUGUGUAGGAUAGGUGGGAGGCUUUGAAGUGUGGACGCCAGUCUGCAUGGAGCCGACCUUGAAAUACCACCCUUUAAUGUUUGAUGUUCUAACGUGGACCCGUUACCCGGGUUGCGGACAGUGUCUGGUGGGUAGUUUGACUGGGGCGGUCUCCUCCUAAAGAGUAACGGAGGAGCACGAAGGUUGGCUAAUCCUGGUCGGACAUCAGGAGGUUAGUGCAAUGGCAUAAGCCAGCUUGACUGCGAGCGUGACGGCGCGAGCAGGUGCGAAAGCAGGUCAUAGUGAUCCGGUGGUUCUGAAUGGAAGGGCCAUCGCUCAACGGAUAAAAGGUACUCCGGGGAUAACAGGCUGAUACCGCCCAAGAGUUCAUAUCGACGGCGGUGUUUGGCACCUCGAUGUCGGCUCAUCACAUCCUGGGGCUGAAGUAGGUCCCAAGGGUAUGGCUGUUCGCCAUUUAAAGUGGUACGCGAGCUGGGUUUAGAACGUCGUGAGACAGUUCGGUCCCUAUCUGCCGUGGGCGCUGGAGAACUGAGGGGGGCUGCUCCUAGUACGAGAGGACCGGAGUGGACGCAUCACUGGUGUUCGGGUUGUCAUGCCAAUGGCACUGCCCGGUAGCUAAAUGCGGAAGAGAUAAGUGCUGAAAGCAUCUAAGCACGAAACUUGCCCCGAGAUGAGUUCUCCCUGAGACUUUAGGUCUCCUGAAGGAACGUUGAAGACGACGACGUUGAUAGGCCGGGUGUGUAAGCGCAGCGAUGCGUUGAGCUAACCGGUACUAAUGAACCGUGAGGCUUAACCUUACAACGCCG